ACUAGACACCAUCUGCAGUAAUUUCAUUGAUGCUCUCCCAGUUGUAUUGCUCAGAAAACAACAAGCGCGUCAUUCACUUCUCAACAUGUGAAGUGUAUGGGAAAACGAUAGGAAGCUUCCUACCCAAUGAUCAUCCUCUUAGAAAGAACAAGAAAGAAAGGAAGAAGGUCCGUGAGGUU